rnacentral:rRNA from 1 species
GGAUUAGAUACCCUGGUAGUCCGCACCGUAAACGUUGUAUACUAGUUGUUGGUGGUUUCAACGCCAUCAGUGACGUCGCUAACGCAUUAAGUAUACCGCCUGGGGAGUAUGCUCGCAAGGGUGAAACUCAAAGAAAUUGACGGGGGCCCGCACAAGCGGUGGAGCAUGUGGUUUAAUUCGACGAUACGCGAGAAACCUUACCUGGGUUUGACAUGGAUUUGACUGGGGUAGAGAUACCCCUUCCCGCAAGGGCAGAUUCACAGGUGUUGCAUGGUCGUCGUCAGCUCGUGCCG